UGUUGUACUAACAUCAUGUGGGCUCUAUAUUACUGCCAGUGAUGAUCACCUGCCAAAUGAUAUAGAAAUCUACAGCUAAAAUAUACAGAGAGGUGUGCAGACUGAAGCCGUUUUUCCUUAUAGCAAAACGAAGAGGACAUGCAUCACCUGUGCAUUGUGAGGGGAGUGGAGAAACAGCUGUGGUGGAGCAGAGUCAUUCAGGAAAAAAUCCUGGACCCAUGGGGUAAUGUCCAGGUGGUCCUCACCAACAAGGAGAUGACUGGUAUUAAGUACCUUGGUAGAAGGAUCUAUGGACUCGGGUCUUGCCUCGUCAAGAUGAGGUCAGAGUUCACCUAUUAUGAGGACGCCCAGCAGGUGGAUAUCUGGCUCCUCUCAGCAGUUCCCCCAGGAUUCUCCACCUCCCCCUCCGCCUCCCACGUUCCCUUCCCCUCCACCUUACCACUUCACCCAGGACCAGUUCAUGUGAUGUCUGUUUUAGGAGUUUGUGGAGGAGCAACAUAAUGUUGCAGAUGUGCCCCAGCUGUGGUGAGUUUGCUUUCAUGUGUUCAUCUAUAGUAAAAACAUUUGCUUUGAAAUAAUCUGCCCCUAUAUUGUAGUUAUACAGAUGUAGGACCUUAAUAACCUUUUACUACAGUGGGCUAAAUCAGGGUCACACACAGUGUUUCUUUGUAGUCUUAAACAAAUCUACUUUGAAACAAAAGUAUACACCUCACACACAUGGAUAUGGUCUUAAAAAAGAAGACACUUUUAGCAUUUCAGAUACAGAGUUGAUACACUUUAUAUACACUACCGGUCAAAAGUUUUUCAAACACCUACUCAUUCAAGGGGUUUUCUAUAUUUUUACUCUUUUCUACGUUGUAGAAUAAUAGUGAAGACAUCAAAACUAUGAAAGAACACAUGGAAUCAUGUAGUAACCAAAGAAGUGUGAAACAAAUCAAAAUAAAUGUAUUGUUUAAGAUUCUUCAUAUAGCCACCGUUUGCCUUGAUAACAGCUUUGCACACGUUUGGCAAACUCUUGGGAAGUAUUAGUUACUAUGUGGAUUAUAAUUUACAUUUUUGUAGGGGUUGAUAGAUUUUUCGUUAGGGCAAAUAAAGUCUGACAUUUCCAAGUGGAAAUUACAAACUUUAAAAGCCUUUUUAAAACUAAAAUACACUACAAGUUUCUCAGUGACAAACGAGUGAUCAAAUUAAGAUCCUACAUUGGUAUGGUUUUCUAAAUCCUGCAGUUGUAACAUAGGCUAACA
rnacentral:lncRNA from 13 species